GGCGAUAAAGCAGAGGGUGUUUUAGGGCGUGGCUAUGAUGUGAUUGACAGUUCGCGGCCUGUCAAUCAUGACAAGAGGUUUAGCAAAGCUUAUCCAAGGCACGUCAACUUCAUUUUGGAGUUUGACCAGCUUUCUUCGUAGUGACUGUAAAACUUUGGUUGCCUAAUAAUGACUUGUUCAGCGUUCGGUUGGACGACAAGACACUCAAAGGACUCGGCAGUUCCGUUUUUCUGCUGCCAUUGGAACCUGACUCCUGCUACCGCUUCACUCCUGCCAUCCACCGGAAAAGUCUUUUUGUUGCACCUUAAGUUUCAGAUUUGACGUCAUUUUACCCUAGAAAUAUGGGACUUUUACUUCCUAAAAUCUCUAAAUUUAUACCGUUUUAAUUGCUUGAUUUUAAAUAUGGGUGCAGUCAGAGGUGUCCCCUGACAAAAAUCAUUGUCUGAAAUUAUUAAUUGUUAAUGUUGUAUUCUUGUAAAACUCAAAAUAUACAUUCCUUUCACAAUGUACUUAUUUGUUUUGUAUAAAGGGCAGGCACAGGUUACAUAUAUUUUACUUAAGGUGAAUAUAAUCCAUUAAUCUAGUUUUUAAAUGUACGUUGUAUUAACACCUUAUUUUGAAAACCGGAAGUAGUCCCAUGUGUAUCAUCUCCCUAACUUCGCUACUUGAUCUGGGCCGUUUGAAUGCAUUUCCACGCGUACCGUUAUAAGAGCGCAUUACAAAUUUAGUGUCGGCUGAUUUGACCACGGAGAUCCGAGUGUCGGCUGGCUUGACCGUAGUCCACUAGCCGGCCUGCUAUCUUCCUCUGACGGACCCGCUCCUUCCCAGAAACCACCGACCCGUUCUCCAUCCUGGAAACUUUGACGUGCUUUUCCCCCCUCAGAAACCUGGACUUGAUACUUUAAAUAAAACCUGUUAAUUCACA